AACACCUACCUUAUAGGUACUUAAGGGUUACUUUUUAGUUGUUCUUUUGCUUUAUUGUAUUCCUAAUGAACUUCUGUCUGAGAAGUCAUAUCCCUGAUUGUGCACUAAUGUAAAAAAAAACACUUGCUGUGAAUUAUCAAGUCUGUACUGGAGCAAAAAAUGAACAACAAUCUAAACUUGCAGCUAGGAAGGUAAUUUUGUGUUCUUUUGUCUUCAUCUAAAUAUUCUUAAUCUGCUGAGGGUUUUGUGAAUAAUAACUGUUUCACUGUUUGCAUGCAGUAUGCUCGCAUCAUCAGAAGCUUGGGUUUCCAGCAAAAUUCAAGGACUUCAAGAUUCAGAACAUUGUUAGGUCCUGUGAUGUCAUUUUCAGAACAUUGUUCGGUCCUGUGAUGUCAAAUCCCCAAUCAGGCUCGAGGGUCUUGCAUACUCUCACGGUGCUUUCUCAAGUUAUGAAACAGAGCUCUUCUCUGGCUUGAUCUAUCGAAUGAAGCGGCAAAAAAUCAUGCUGCUGAUUUUUGUUUCCGGCAAGAUUGUUCUGACAAGAGCUAAGGUGAGAGAUGAGACGUACACUGCUUUUGAAAAUAUCUAUCCAGUCCUCACAAAGUUCAGAAAAGUCCGGCAAUGUUAAGUACAUGGUAAUUACUAAUGGGCAUGGGUAAUUAGGGCAUGCUGUUCAACUAUGUGCCCAGUUGUUGUUGUUGUCCCCUUUUUAUCGUUUUGUUUCCUGAUGGUACGGGUGAUCACAUUUUCAGAAAACUUAAGUUCGUCACUUGGUGUAUGUAGAUAACUUAGGAAUGGGCAAAUGCUAUUGCUGGCCGCCAGCUCU